rnacentral:lncRNA from 1 species
UAGUAUUUAUUGCUCUUUAAAAUUUCGAAAGAUUGAAUGAUUGAAUCUAAAUAAUUUAUAAUUAAUGUGCAAAUUUGUCUGAACUAUAAACUAUUUUUUAUUAGAUACCAAACCUUUAAAAAAUUUUAAGUCGGACAACGAUACUUUGACUACAAAAUUUAACCUAACUAUUUAUUUUAAUAAAUUUAUAAUUGUGAAAAUUACAUAAAGUAUACUAAUGUCUAAUUAAAUUGUGAAAAUAAACAGCAAAUCUAAUUUUUGAAGUCAAAAUAUCACCAACCAACUCAAAUUAAAUAAUUAAAAGAUUAAAUAAUAAAAUUAUAGUUUUAAAAAUUUAAAUAACUAAUUUAAAAUGAUGUAUCGUU